CCCGCCUACUCAUGAAGUCGUACACCUGAAGGUCCAGCGAGUGGGGUUGGUAUCAAUGUGUAGGCCUAGUGGAUCCACACCGUGACCUAGUGCACUGGACCCUGUUGAUAUGCAGCCACCUCAGCUUCAUGAAGAAACGGCAAGAUUCAGAUGACUACACCGUUUCAGAUCUACUCAUCUCGCUCACCUGUCCACCUGGAUGAAGGAUCACACUCUGCAGCUGAACAUGUCCAAAACCAAGCUCCCAAUCAAAUUGUUCUAGGUUAAUCUCUAACAACAACCUUUUUCUUCACGCAUUGUGCCUUGCUGAUUUUGUUUGUUUGCACAUGUGACUGAGGUAGCCUGGUUUUACCAGACCACAUUAAUUGCUUCGUAAGUAAUUUUAGGUCUGGAUCCUUCGUGUCCUUGAGCACCAGGGCGGGAGAAGUGAGCUCAGCUCUGAUUUGAAAUGAGCUCUGUCCAAUCGCUGACAAUUGACGUAUGUUAUUCUGCCAAGUGCAUUCACGCCGGUUGUCAGUGUUGCCAGAUGUACGAUAAUUUAUACCAUAAUUUUGUUCUUCCGCCGGUCAG